rnacentral:misc_RNA from 1 species
AAGUCGUAACAAGGUUUCCGUAGGUGAACCUGCGGAAGGAUCAUUAAAAAAAGGGUCGCAAGACCUAUUUUUAAACACUAUCGCCGCCUAUCAUCUAUGGGUAGGAUACUCUUGUCUAUGGGUGAGAUGGAGGAGGUAGGGUUUUUUAAAAUCCAAUUAUUAUUAUAAAAUAUAUCGUCUAAUGACGAACCAAAAAAAAUUAUUAAAACUUUCAACAAUGGAUCUCUUGGCUCUC